rnacentral:rRNA from 1 species
ACGAGACACGUGAAACCUUGUGGGAAGCAGGGAGGACCACCUCCCAAGGCUAAAUACUACCUGAUGACCGAUAGUGAAGCAGUACCGUGAGGGAAAGGUGAAAAGAACCCCGGGAGGGGAGUGAAAUAGAACCUGAAACCGUGUGCCUACAACCGCUCAGAGCCCCUUAUGAGGGUGAUGAGGUGCUUUUUGUAGAACGAGCCAACGAGUUACGGUAUGUAGCAAGGUUAAGUACUUAAGGUACGGAGCCGAAGGGAAACCGAGUCUGAAUAGGGCGACUAGUUGCAUGCCGUAGACCCGAAACCGGGUGACCUAUCCAUGGCCAGGUUGAAGCGAGGGUAAAACCUCGUGGAGGACCGAACCACGUUGCUGUUGAAAAAGCAUGGGAUGAGCUGUGGAUAGCGGAGAAAUUCCAAUCGAACCCGGAGAUAGCUGGUUCUCUCCGAAAUAGCUUUAGGGCUAGCGUCGAGUAUGAGUAGUGGAGGUAGAGCACUGAAUGGGCUAGGGGGCAUAGCGCUUACCGAACCUUAUCAAACUCCGAAUGCCACAUACUUUGAGCUCGGCAGUCAGACUACGAAUGAUAAGAUCCGUGGUCAAAAGGGAAACAGCCCAGAUCGUCAGCUAAGGUCCCAAAGUGUAAGUUAAGUGGGAAAGGAUGUGAGAUUUCUAAGACAACUAGGAUGUUGGCUUAGAAGCAGCCAUUCAUUAAAAGAGUGCGUAAUAGCUCACUAGUCGAGAGAUCUUGCGCCGAAAAUGUAACGGGGCUAAACUUACCACC